UUGGGGAUUAGCCAAGUCGGUAAGGCACAUGACUUUGACUCAUGCAUCCGUGGGUUCGAGUCCCGCAUCCCCAGCCAA
rnacentral:tRNA from 1 species